GACGAACGCUGGCGGCGUGCUUAACACAUGCAAGUCGAACGGAAAGGCCCUGCUUGCAGGGUACUCGAGUGGCGAACGGGUGAGUAACACGUGGGUGAUCUGCCCUGCACUUCGGGAUAAGCCUGGGAAACUGGGUCUAAUACCGGAUAGGAGCCAUUUUUAGUGUGAUGGUUGGAAAGUUUUUUCGGUGUAGGAUGAGCUCGCGGCCUAUCAGCUUGUUGGUGGGGUAAUGGCCUACCAAGGCGGCGACGGGUAGCCGGCCUGAGAGGGUGGACGGCCACAUUGGGACUGAGAUACGGCCCAGACUCCUACGGGAGGCAGCAGUGGGGAAUAUUGCACAAUGGGCGCAAGCCUGAUGCAGCGACGCCGCGUGGGGGAUGACGGCCUUCGGGUUGUAAACUCUUUUCGCUAGGGACGAAGCUUUUUGUGACGGUACCUAGAGAAGAAGCACCGGCUAACUACGUG
rnacentral:rRNA from 1 species